rnacentral:tRNA from 1 species
GGGCGAUUAGCUCAGUUGGUAGAGCAACGCUUUUACACAGCGAAGGUCACAGGUUCGAGUCCUGUAUCGCCCA